GCUGGAGGUAUCAGAAGUGCGAAUGCUGACAUAAGUAACGAUAAAGCGGGUGAAAAGCCCGCUCGCCGGAAGACCAAGGGUUCCUGUCCAACGUUAAUCGGGGCAGGGUGAGUCGACCCCUAAGGCGAGGCCGAAAGGCGUAGUCGAUGGGAAACGGGUUAAUAUUCCCGUACUUGGUGUUACUGCGAAGGGGGGACGGAGAAGGCUAUGUUGGCCGGGCGACGGUUGUCCCGGUUUAAGCGUGUAGGUGUGUGUUCCAGGUAAAUCCGGUUCACUUUAACACUGAGGCGUGACGACGAGGCACUACGGUGCUGAAGCAACAAAUGCCCUGCUUCCAGGAAAAGCCUCUAAGCAUCAGGUAACACGAAAUCGUACCCCAAACCGACACAGGUGGUCAGGUAGAGAAUACCAAGGCGCUUGAGAGAACUCGGGUGAAGGAACUAGGCAAAAUGGUGCCGUAACUUCGGGAGAAGGCACGCUGACACGUAGGUGAAGUGAUUUACUCAUGGAGCUGAAGUCAGUCGAAGAUACCAGCUGGCUGCAACUGUUUAUUAAAAACACAGCACUGUGCAAACACGAAAGUGGACGUAUACGGUGUGACGCCUGCCCGGUGCCGGAAGGUUAAUUGAUGGGGUCAGCGUAAGCGAAGCUCCUGAUCGAAGCCCCGGUAAACGGCGGCCGUAACUAUAACGGUCCUAAGGUAGCGAAAUUCCUUGUCGGGUAAGUUCCGACCUGCACGAAUGGCGUAAUGAUGGCCAGGCUGUCUCCACCCGAGACUCAGUGAAAUUGAACUCGCUGUGAAGAUGCAGUGUACCCGCGGCAAGACGGAAAGACCCCGUGAACCUUUACUAUAGCUUGACACUGAACAUUGAGCCUUGAUGUGUAGGAUAGGUGGGAGGCUUUGAAGUGUGGACGCCAGUCUGCAUGGAGCCGACCUUGAAAUACCACCCUUUAAUGUUUGAUGUUCUAACGUGGACCCGUAAUCCGGGUUGCGGACAGUGUCUGGUGGGUAGUUUGACUGGGGCGGUCUCCUCCUAAAGAGUAACGGAGGAGCACGAAGGUUGGCUAAUCCUGGUCGGACAUCAGGAGGUUAGUGCAAUGGCAUAAGCCAGCUUGACUGCGAGCGUGACGGCGCGAGCAGGUGCGAAAGCAGGUCAUAGUGAUCCGGUGGUUCUGAAUGGAAGGGCCAUCGCUCAACGGAUAAAAGGUACUCCGGGGAUAACAGGCUGAUACCGCCCAAGAGUUCAUAUCGACGGCGGUGUUUGGCACCUCGAUGUCGGCUCAUCACAUCCUGGGGCUGAAGUAGGUCCCAAGGGUAUGGCUGUUCGCCAUUUAAAGUGGUACGCGAGCUGGGUUUAGAACGUCGUGAGACAGUUCGGUCCCUAUCUGCCGUGGGCGCUGGAGAACUGAGGGGGGCUGCUCCUAGUACGAGAGGACCGGAGUGGACGCAUCACUGGUGUUCGGGUUGUCAUGCCAAUGGCACUGCCCGGUAGCUAAAUGCGGAAGAGAUAAGUGCUGAAAGCAUCUAAGCACGAAACUUGCCCCGA
rnacentral:rRNA from 1 species